UGAAUACGAGAUGCUACGGCGUCGAAGCAGUCUAUGUCAUACUUCCAAGAAAAGCUUGCACUGUCAUAAACAAAUAAUGCCUGUACCAUAACCGACACAGGUGGGUAGGUAGAGUAUACUAAGGGGCGCGAGAUAACUCUCUCUAAGGAACUCGGCAAAAUGACUCCGUAACUUCGGGAGAAGGAGUGCCUUAUUUAUAAGGUUGCAAUAACAAGAUCCAAGCAACUGUUUACCAAAAACACAGGUCUCCGCUAAGUCGUAAGACGAUGUAUGGGGGCUGACGCCUGCCCAGUGCCAGAAGGUUAAAGAAGUUGGUUAGCAUCCGCGAAGCUGAUAACUGAAGCCCUGGUGAACGGCGGCCGUAACAAUAACGGUCCUAAGCUAGCGAAAUUCCUUGUCGGGUAAGUUCCGACCCGCACGAAAGGCGUAAUGAUUUGGAUACUGUCUCGGAGAGGGGCUCGGUGAAAUAGACUUGUCUGUGAAGAUGCGGACUACCUGCACCAGGACAGAAAGACCCUAUGAAGCUUUACUGUAACCUGAAAUUGAAAUUGGACUUUACUUGCGCAGUAUAGGUGGGAGGCGUUGAGAAUAUUCUUGCGGGAUUAUUGGAGCCAUCAGUGAGAUACCACUCUUGUAAUGUUAGAUUUCUAACUUUGUAUCAUUAUCUGGUCAAAGAACAGUUUCAGGCGGGCAGUUUGACUGGGGCGGUCGCCUCCUAAACGGUAACGGAGGCGCACAAAGGUUUCCUCUGAACGGGUAGAAAUCGUAUCUAGAGUGUAAAGGCAUAAGGAAGCUUGACUGUGAGACCUACAAGUCGAGCAGGGACGAAAGUCGGUCUUAGUGAUCUGACGGUGCUGAGUGGAAAGGCCGUCACUCAACGGAUAAAAGUUACUCUAGGAUAACAGGCUGAUCUCCCCCAAGAGUUCACAUCGACGGGGAGGUUUGGCACCUCGAUGUCGGCUCAUCGCAUCCUGGGGCGGUAGUACGUCCCAAGGGUUGGGCUGUUCGCCCAUGAAAGCGGUACGCGAGCUGGGUUCAGAACGUCGUGAGACAGUUCGGUCCAUAUCCGGUGUAGGCGUUAGAAUAUUGAGAGGAGCCUUCUUUAGUACGAGAGGACCGAGAAGGACAUACCUCUGGUGUACCAGUUAUCGUGCCAACGGUAAACGCUGGGUAGCUAUGUGUGGAGUGGAUAACCGCUGAAAGCAUCUAAGUGGGAAGCCCACCUCAAGAUAAG
rnacentral:rRNA from 1 species